rnacentral:rRNA from 1 species
UACGGAAGGCAGCAGUGGGGAAUAUUGCACAAUGGGCGAAAGCCUGAUGCAGCUAUGCCGCGUGUAUGAAGAAGGCCUUAGGGUUGUAAAGUACUUUCAUCGGGGAGGAAAAAACAAAACUAAUAAUUUUAUUUCUUGACGUUACCCGAAAAAGAAGCACCGGCUAACUCCGUGCCAGCAGCCGCGGUAAUACGGAGGGUGCUAGCGUUAAUCAGAAUUACUGGGCGUAAAGAGCACGUAGGUGGUUUUUUUAAGUCAGAUGUGAGAUCCCUGGGCUUAACCUGGAACUGCAUUUUGAAACUGAAAUACUAGAGUAUCGUAGAGGGAGGUAGAAUUCUAGGUGUAGCGGUGAAAUGCGUAGAUAUCUGGAGGAAUACCUGUGGCGAAAGCGGCCUCCUAAACGAAUACUGACACUGAGGUGCGAAAGCGUGGGGAGCAAACGAGGGAUUAGAUA